CCUGAGCUUCCGUUCUUGCCAUUUUUAGGUUCAUAUACACAUCAUACUGAUUGAUUCAUUCACUAGGUUACGAUGUCUAGGUUACAUACGUACAUUACUUAUUCUUGAGCAGAAUAUUAUUCUUUUUUAGCAGAGGAGAAUAGUGCUUACUGUAAAUUAGUUGGGUAUAUACCAACAACCAAAAAGCUCAAAACAUUUUGUGAGAAAUAGAAUAAAUCAAGCCUUGCUCGAAUUAGACAAGAAACAUAUUGAUUAAUCAUUCCUUAAAAUAGCUUGACUUUGUCAUAAGGACUAUAAAAGAAGCCGCAUUAUGACAUGUCUAAGCUACAACAAAUAAUAUAUAUUCUUAUUUGGUCUAAAAUACAGCAACUAAUAUAAGACGUUUUAGAUUCGGUGAUCUAAAACGUCUUAUAUUAGUUACAGAGAGAGUAUUAUCCUUUGUGCUGAUUAAUUUAUAUGUACUAACUUAUAUUUAUGUGUUUUUAGAGUGGACGGUCAGCUGUGAUAGUUCAAACUGUUGUGAGAUGUAUUUUGAUAUCAUCCUCCUAACAAGAGACAAAUUAGUGGAUUAUUUUGCUAGAUAGUGUUGAUGUCUCCUUAAAACCGAGGCUUCUUUCUCAUCGGAUAUAGAACUGUGAAUUUGUAAAUUAUAUUUAUUCUAUCUUUUCAAACAGAAUGAAAAGCCAUCUUCUAUUUUCUUCCAUCCAACUUUUCUUCAGCUUGAAAUGUGCAAAACAUUUGUCACAGGGAUAUUGUACUUUGAUCAAUGGAUGUGAUAAAAAACACCAUGACAUAGACAUGGAAGGGGGGACCUGAAUGCACGAAACAAAUAAUGAAAAGCCUUGUGAAGUGGCAGAAAACUAUAUGUCUUAUGUACCUUUUAGUUUCCCUUCAAGUGGGAUGCCAAGCCUCAUGAAGUGGUAAAAAACUGAGCAAUAUUAAGCUCAGUUUGUUGGAAUUGAUCCUAAUCAUUUCAUAUUUGGCUCAAAUUUUGCUAUACGAAAAACUUUCUCAAUGCAUGCUUACAGAUGCUAAUUGCAUACAAGUAUGCACAAGAUAUGUACAGGAGUUUCUAUCACUAAUUUUUAUAGUAUUGAGUUGAUUUAAUGGUAACUACCACUGGGUGGUAGGAUGGAUUUUUCCUAUACACACACACAUAUGAGUUUCUGGCUAAUUGUCUUUGAGGGGCUAAAUUGGAUUCCUUGAUGGAAAAUAAACAAUCAACUGAAAGUUUCUAAUUUAUCUUUCUCCCUUUCUUGGCUGUAGUAGACUUUUCUCUAUGUUAAUGUUCCUCAUAAUUCUAGACCAAGUCUUUCUUCGAUCUGAAUGACAUGGAAAAUGUUGUUUCAUUUCACAUAUUCAUUUUAUUAUAUUGUUUAAAUUUUUUCUAUGCAAGCCAGUAAAACUUGUUUUUUGUUUAUUAAGCCAAACUUCCAUCUUGUACUGGGAAGCCAUAACGUCAUAGUAGAAGACAAAUGUGUGUGAGCAUGUGAAAAUGACUGCAUAGGACAUGCUGAGGUGCUCAAGCUACCUCCUCUUGUACUGGGAAGCCAUAACGUCAUAGUCCUGAGUGGCUGAGCUGUGAUUGGUUAGGAGAGAGUGAAAUAUAACCUAGAUGGUGAAAUUUGUGUGUCAAUGUAGCUUUUCAGUUGUUCAUGUGUCCCAUUUAUGAUCAGGGAUGCUUGAGUCAUGUGGGAUAAUAAAAUUGGACACUCCAGAGGUUAUGGCUUUGUCUUAUUCUGUAAUCAGUAGGCAUGCACAACUCAGACCAUUUCUCUUUUGCAUUUUGCAGUAGUUUUACUAUUUUAAUGGCAUGAAUCAAAUACCAACUUUACUUUCUACCUAAUAUUCUGGUGUUUGAGUGAUACCGAUAGCUUUUGCAAUGCCUAAAUUUAGCUCGGUGAAUUGUACUCUUAGUGUGUUACCAAUUUGUGGAUGUAUAGCUAUGAAUAGUACUGAUACAUACAAUUUCGCCUCUUCUCUGUAGACUUUGAAGGAUGAAGAAUAAAGAACACUCUAUGAUCAGGGAUUGCCAAAGAGUGGCAUUUAAAAGGCAGCUGACAUUUGAUGAAUUGCUGAAUGGUGGUGGUCGCACACCAUGGGGGACAGUGUUCCAAGAGAGGUCUCGAAGAUGGUUAGAGAUUAGGCAAUCCAACGUCAAACAUGAUUGUGCUGAUGUCUGGGUUUUGGCUUGGUGGUGAGGUGCUUGAGGUCGUGGCUCUGUGUCAGGAACCUCCUCUUGAGCGGGCUUGUACUUCAUGGUGGUGAGGUCUAUCUUGAUGGUAGACCAGUUGGUUGAUUAAAUGCCAAUAGGAGCAGCUGAGUGGACCACUGAUGUAGUCUCACUGUGCAUCAGUAUUGUUGACCUCAGCUCGCCUAUACAUAUGAUCCAUGUAUCGUAUUCAGCUUCUCUCUAAGACUUGGUAUGCCUGUGUUCUGAUGAUCCGAGGAACUCUGCCUCUCUUUUGGAGAUCAUCCACCUUUUGAAGACUGUUAAACCUUGAUUUGGAAAUCUGGAUGUGUCUAUGACGAGUCAUCCACCUUGUAAGAUUGUCAUCUAUUUGUUACCUAUUAGCAUCGAUCAAACUAUUUAUCUUGCUCUGCUUUAUGAAUAAACACUCUUCU